UCCAGAAGUUUGCAAGCUCUGAUUGAACCGGUAUAGAACUGAAGUGAUUGUGUUUUGUAACGUUUUAUUUGGGUAUGUCGAGUGAAGAAAAAACAGAGAAGAGCGAAAACCUAGAUGGGUUGUCAGCUGAAGCAUUGGACUCUGAAACCCUAAUGGCUGAUUCUGGAACUGGGUUGUCUGAUGAGGUGCCUAGGGUUUCUGAUGAUAAUGGAAAUGUGGAUACUGGUGCUAUUAACGAGCCAGUUGUUGCUACAGAGGAGACCCUGGAAGUGGGGAGUGACGCUGGUGGUGAUGUGGUGGAAGUUCAUGGUUCACUGGAUAAUGUGAGUGGGGGAGAGCUUGCGAGUGAAGGGGCCGAAGCAGAUCAAGGGUCUGGACAUUUGGUUGAGGAAAUGAACGGAGAGGAGAAUGUAGCUGGUGGUUCGGAUGAUGAGAUGAUUGAUGCUGUUGACGGAGAAACUGCUGAGGAUAACUCUGGGGAUGAUACAACUAGUGUAAAACAUGUUUAUGCAGUUGGUGACUUUGUGUGGGGCAAGAUUAAGAGUCAUCCGUGGUGGCCAGGGCGUGUUUACGAUGCUUCCACUGCCUCUGACUUUGCUAUGAAGUAUAAUCAAACAGGUCGAUUGCUAGUGGCAUACUUUGGAGAUGGGUCAUUUUCUUGGUGCCCCCCUUCGCAAUUGGUGCCUUUUGUUGACAACUUUGAAAAAAUGUCAAAGCAGAGCACUUCCAAGAGUUUCUUAUAUGCUGUUGAAAAAACCUUGGAUGAAAUUGGUGUGCUUGUGGAGUUUCAAAUGACCUGCCAAUGUGUCUCUGAAGAGAGUCUUACUGGACUUAGUUGGCCAUUGGCAGUGAAUGCUGGA
rnacentral:misc_RNA from 1 species